GCACGAGAUUGGCAGCAGGUUAUGGACGAUGACUGGGCAGCGCCAUCGAUUGGCUGUAUUUGAAGGGUGAGGCGGGGCUCAAUGGUGGAGCAGCCAAAUCGUGAUUGGUGGAGAGGGUAGAGCUGCGCAUGCGUGCGCGAUGGGGGCCUUACUGGGGUGGUUGGUUUACGCUCGGUCGGCUUUGCGCCUGGAGGCUGCGGAGCGGUUGGGGGCGCUCGAGGGAGCGCGUGCCCGGCUGUGGUGGCGGUUGGGCUGGGGUCUCUUUUGAAUAUGCCGCUUUUCCAAGUGCCGCCAAACCCGCCCGCUCAUGCGCGCGCGCGCGCGCGGGCGGGGCGUUGACGCUCUGGCUGUGGGGCCUGGCCCCUGGUUCAAGUAAUCCCCGCGCCGAGUCACGCCUUCGCCCGCUCCGCGCCGCUGGGGCAGGGGCUGCGCUAGCCAUGGGGCAGCCCCGCGCGGGAGGGGGGCACGUUUCAGGGCAGCUGCCCUGGGCUGCAGAUUUGUUGACGGGAAAACGGCUGGGGCAAACGUGAGGGGGCGUUGCGAGCCAGGGCACCAUGGCGGGCGCUAGUUUGGCCCAGUAGCCCCUCUGUCAGAGCGAGAGGCACGCUGCAGUGCGGCCGAGGGUGGCAGAAGAAGUUCCUGAAGGAUGAGUUCCCCUCGAGAACAAUGUGCCGCACUAGCAGGCCAAAGAGAUUGAGUUGCACGCGGGGCAGCAACCCUAGCACAAGGGCGAUGUAGGGCGGGUGUUACAACCUACGUUACGGUUCAGGCCCGGUCAGAGGUUGUAUUUGCUCCGUACCUUAGCUAAGGGUUUGCAGGGAGUUCUCGCUGUAAGGUGGUGCUGGAGUAUUGAAUCUGAGGUCCCAGUGACGAUGUGAUCCCAUCAGGCUGUGCUCGUGGCCCUGCACCAGAUGCGCCAGUCUACAUAGCAGACAAUAGCAGUAUACCGAGAUUUGUGAACAACAGCCAGUUGGAGUCUGCCAUGUCUGUAUCGUGCCUUCGGUACAUCAGAAAACACCACCAAAGUAUGCACCAGUGACUUGUGGAUGCUUUUCCCGUUUCCUGAAACAGGAGUGAAAGCCCAAGCAAGACAAGUUCUUCAACUGAUUGUUUUUAAUCCCAUGAUCCAUUGACCAGCCAUGUGUUGAGGCAAAGAGCUCUUGAGAUUUGGGUGAAGGAUCUUCCCAUCUUCCUGAGCGAGAAGGGGAGGGGCAAGCUGGAAAGUGAUUGGUGAGCAAGCAAAUGGCCCACUGUCUGAGAUCUAUCCGAGGGGUGCCUCAUUGUUGACAUAUGCGGUGAAGUACAAUGGAUUCUAUUACCCACUCAUGGGCUCGUGAGACGUGCCUACUGAAUGUAUCCGUGGUCACAUUCUGAGCUCAUGGAAGUUGCAGGUCUAGUUUGAGGAAGAGAUCUAUGGCCUUGCAAGUUGCCUGUGAAAUUUUGUCCUGAGAGCAACCUUUCAGAAGCCAAUCGUCUAGGUAAAAAGGCAAGGCUUGCCAAACAUCGAGGGAGUGGUGUCUUCAUUCUUCUGUGGAAAUGUGUGGUUCUGGGAAGAACACAGAUAGGACAUGGAGAAACACCCCAUAAAUGAAAGACUGAAUGGGCAUUCAGUUUUUCUAGUGUAAGGUGUUAUUCAGUAACCCAAGUGGACACCUCUCUCUUGCUCCCUCAUAUGAAGUCUGUUGACACUGGGAAGGAAGACAGAGGAUAACAGCACCCAAACAUUGGUAGAUACACCUACAGGUGAAACUGAUUGAGACUUCAUAAUGUCUGCUUCUCUGGUCAGUCAAGUAACAUCACAUAGCAGAAUCAGUAGGAACCAAAUGUAUAUCAUAACUAAACAUGAUCAGGGAUGCAUGAUGCAGUAAUGUUAACGUUAUAUAUUGUCAUUUGAAUUUACACAUAUCUUUAUGCUUUUCGCAUGCUUGAACUCUUAUUUUUGUUUAAGUUUGCCUCAUUGUAAAUGCGUCUCAUAAACAGGGGUGCUGGAAACCUAUGUGAAGAGUUUUCCUGCUUAAAAGAUAUCCUGGCAGAUUUUUUGAAUCUUGGGUGUUUUCCACAGCAUUUAAAGAUUUCAUUUAGAAAGCUAAGUUUGUAGUUCUCCUCUCUUUGUAAAGAUAACCUUUUAAAAACAAACAAAAAAAAAAGCGGUGCUAUCUUCAUCUUCCCGAGUUUAGAGACAUACUGAAAUAGCUGUAAAAUGUAUACUGCUCCAUUCUUCUCAAUGUAGUGGUUAUUCUGCAGUUUAUAAGCAAUUUAAAAGUCAUUCUUAACUCUUUCACUUAUGCUUGUCAUAUCACCUGGACAGUGAAUUAAUCUGAAAGGACAUUCCACAAAAGUUUUAAAAGAUGCCAAUAAUAUUCUAUAUUUCUUCCCCAGCCAGUCAGCAAAGGGUGACCAAUUCCCCAGUUUACCAGCAGUCUUAAUUUCUGGGGGUACCCUAAUCUGCCAACAGAUUAUACUGAAACAUUGGUUAAAACCCAAUUACAGUAUGAUCACUAGCCAUCUGGUCAGCCAGCUUCUCCACAACUUUUAGUUCCUAAUACCGCCAGUACCUCCCACACUCUGUAUCUUCGAGUCACAGAUUCCAAGGUCAGAAGGGCCCACUGGGAUCAUCUCUAGACUGAUCUCUGAUUAACACAGGCCAUAGAACUUCCUCAAAAUUCUAG